AGGUGUCUGGAGAUGAGAAAGGAGGGGUUUCAGUGCACAGAAAUGAAGUAAAGAUGGAGAAGUGCCAACAUUGAUGUGAAAAAUAUAUGGGAAUAAUACAAGAUUUAGCAGUGGAAACUACAAGGUUUUACUGGAGACAUAAGAUGCUGGUAUCUGAAAAACAAGCUGCUUGAAGAACAGCAGGUCCAUUGGUGGAUGGAGAUGUUUAUAAAUGGGGAAGUCAAUGCACUUGAUUGAGGUCGCCCUGCUCACAGAGCCUUUUCUUUGCCAGUUUUGAAGUUGAUGAAGCUUCUCAUCCCAGACAGGCUGAGGUCAAAUGGGAAUGAAAGGUCAUUGGUAGUUGAUGUUUGCAAGCCUACAAGCUUAUUUUUAACGGAAGUGGGAGGGGAAGUCUGCCCUGUCAGCAUACCUGCUCGGCCAAAUGGACCAGUGACAGCAGAAUGUGGCUAAGUAACAACACAGCAAAGCUCAGGCCCCAAUUGGGCUGAUUCCUAUCGCUUCACGUACUUCAGCAUUCUGACAGCAGCCUCCUACAGUCUAUUCGCUCUUGCACAAGAGAAGUCACUGAUGGUUUCUCAAGAGGGCUGAGUCCAUUUCAUUUUCUGUUGACAGAUUGAAGCACAUACCAUAUGAUCUGGAAGAAAAAAAGUAAGUGAAAGUUGAACUGAUUGGAGUGGAGGACAUGUGAAGGUGCAGUCCAUGUAAUCACUAUCGAACCAAGCUAAUACUUUGAAAUUACUACACGUGAUUUCCCAGCAGAAAUUUCCUAGAGGAUGCAGGGCUCCAAAAGUCAUGGAGAGGCACUGGCUGGCUUCAAGUGCAGGUUAGAACCAACUCUGCACAUGAAGCACCACGAGUUCAGCCAUGGCCUGAGCGUAAUGAAUAUAAUCUAAAGCCCACAGUUUCAAUCCCAUUUCCUGUGAAGGACUGACAGAGAACUAGCAAUAAAUCUCAUGGAAUUUUCUACAUGGCUAAUCCCAUAUUCAGAAUUAGCUUCUUAUCCUCUGCAAUAAGCAACCGAUAUUCUGAGCAUAGACCCUCUUCAAGACGUCAACUGUUUAUUCUUCUCGAUUGAUGCUGACUGGCCUCCUCAGUUCCUCCAGUAUUUUGGAAGUGUUUCUCUGGAUUUCCAGCAUGUGCAGAAUCUCUUGUGCCAAAUUAUGUUUCAAACAUAGAUAAAGCAUUCUUUUUUUCUCUUUUAAUACUUAUGUAUAUAUGUUUUAUCUGUUUUCUUUAAAAUAUCAAUGAACUAUAUCUUUAUUUGAUCUUUUCAAAAAAUAA